rnacentral:rRNA from 1 species
UGUGGUUAAAAAGCUCGUAGUUGGAUCUCAACAGCCUUGAAGCGGUUAACUUUGUAGUUUUACUGCUUUAUAGGCUGUGCUUUUGCUGGAGGUUUAGGGGUGCUCUUGAUCGAGUGUCUCUGGAUGCCAGCAGGUUUACUUUGAAAAAAUUAGAGUGCUCAAAGCAGGCUAAAAUGCCUGAAUAUUCGUGCAUGGAAUAAUAGAAUAGGAUGUCGAUCCUAUUUUGUUGGUUUUCGGGACUCGACAUAAUGAUAAAUAGGGACAGUCGGGGGCAUUUGUAUUCAAACGACAGAGGUGAAAUUCUUGGACCGUUUGAAGACAAACUACUGCGAAAGCAUUUGCCAAGAAUGUUUUCAUUAAUCAAGAACGAAAGUUAGAGGUUCGAAGGCGAUUAGAUACCGCCCUAGUUCUAACCAUAAACGAUGCCAGCUAGCGAUCUGCCUGCGUUUUUACUGUAGACUGGGCAGGAAGCUUCCGGGAAACCAAAGCAUUUGGGUUCCAGGGGAAGUAUGGUUGCAAAGCUGAAACUUAAAGGAAUUGACGGAAGGGCACCACCAGGAGUGGAGCCUGUGGCUUAAUUUGACUCAACACGGGAAAUCUCACCAGGCCCGGACACUGGAAGGAUUGACAGAUUGAUAGCUCUUU